rnacentral:rRNA from 1 species
CAGGCUUAACACAUGCAAGUUGAACGGUAUUUUUAGUGUUUACACUAUUAAGAGAGUAGCGCACGGGUGAGUAACACGUGGGAACGUAUCAUUUAGUGGGGGAUAACCUGAGGAAACUUUGGCUAAUACCGCAUGAACCCUGAGGGGUAAAGAUUUAUCGCUAGAUGGGCGGCCCGCGGCAGAUUAGGCAGUUGGUGAGGUAACGGCUCACCAAACCUACGAUCUAUAGCUGGUCUGAGAGGAUGAUCAGCCACACUGGAACUGAGGCACGGUCCAGACUCCUACGGGAGGCAGCAGUGAGGAAUAUUGGGCAAUGGAGGCAACUCUGACCCAGCCAUGCCAUGUGAGUGAAGAAGGUCUUCGGAUUGUAAAGCUCUUUCGGAUGUGAAGAUGAUGACUGUAGCAUCUAAAGAAGCCCCGGCAAACUUCGUGCCAGCAGCCGCAGUAA